rnacentral:rRNA from 1 species
GGACCUGACUGCUAUCGGAUUGCUACUAAGCCAUGCGAGUCAUUGUAGCAAUACAAGGCAUACGGCUCAGUAACGCGUAGUCAACCUAACCUAUGGACGGGAAUAACCUCGGGGAACUGAGAAUAAUGCCCGAUAGAACAUUAUGCCUGGAAUGGUUUAUGUUCCAAAUGAUUUAUCGCCGUAGGAUGGGACUGCGGCCUAUCAGUUUGUUGGUGAGGUAAUGGCCCACCAAGACUAUUACAGGUACGGGCUCUGAGAGGAGUAGCCCGGAGAUGGGUACUGAGACACGGACCCAGGCCCUAUGGGGCGCAGCAGGCGAGAAAACUUUGCAAUGUGCGAAAGCACGACAAGGUUAAUCCGAGUGGUUUCUGCUAAAGAAACCUUUUGUCAGUCCUAGAAACACUGAUGAAUAAGGGGUGGGCAAGUUCUGGUGUCAGCC